UGUUUUCUAUCUAGCCUGGCCACUUAUAACACUCUAAUUUAUAGCCGUUUUCCUUUUAACAGUAAAACAUUCUUAAUCUUUAGUAUAUGCGAUAAAAAAAAUACUCAGAGCUAUAACAAAAGUACCGUAAGGGAAAGAUGAAAUAGAAAUGAAACAAAAUUAUACACACUAAAAACGCAGAGUUAAUACCUCGUACCUUUUGCAUCAUGGUCUAACAAGUCUAACUAGGCGAAACGUAUUUUAGUCUAACUUCCCGAAACUAAGUGAGCUACUCCGGGACUACUUAAUGUUUAACCCGUCUCUGUGGCAAAAGAGUGGGAAGAUCCCCGAGUAGAGGCGACAAACCUACCGAACUUAGUAAUAGCUGGUUGCUUAGGAAAAGGAUCCAAGUUCUUUCUUAAAAAUAUUUCAACACUACUAAGUAAACCUAAUUUUUAAGAAAUAUUCAAUAAAGGUACAGCUUUAUUGAAAAAGGAAACAACCUAAACUUUAGGAUAAUGAUUACACCUUUUAAGGUAUAAGGUUAAGUCGGCUUAAGAGCAGCCAUCUUUUAAAAAGCGUCAAAGCUUCACCUUAACUAAACCCCUAAAUUUUAUUAUAUUAUCAAAAUCCAAUAACACUACUAAGCUAUUCUAUAUUUUUAUAGAAAAAUUUAUGUUAGAACUAGUAACACAGAUUUACUUCUCUUACAUGUAAGCUCAAAUCAACCCGAAUACCUCCUUGAUAAAUAUUCAGCCCUGAACCUAAAGUGGUACCUCAUAUUUAAAAACCCCCACUUUACAAACUGUUAACCAAACAUAUGAACAUGAAAGAAAGAUAUAAAAAUUAGGAAGGAACUCGGCAAACACAAGUCUCGCCUGUUUACCAAAAACAUCGCCUUUUGAUUAUUAUAAAAGGUAACGCCUGCCCAGUGACAUAUGUUCAACGGCCGCGGUAUUCUGACCGUGCGAAGGUAGCGUAAUCACUUGUCUUUUAAAUGAAGACUCGUAUGAAUGGCAUCACGAGGACUUAACUGUCUCCCUAGUUUAAUCAGUGAAACUGAUUUUCCUGUGAAAAAGCAGGAAUAAUCUCAUAAGACGAGAAGACCCUAUGGAGCUUUAAACUUAAAACUAAUUGUAUUAUCUGUCACUUUACUUGUCACUAAUUUACAAGUAUAGCCUAAGUUUUUUGUUGGGGCGACUAUGGAGAAAAACUCAUCCUCCAUGAAAUAUAUACCUUGAGUUACCACUCUUAGUAUUAGCAAGCCUAAAUUUAAUUGAUCCAAUUUUUGAUCAACGGACCAAGUUACCCUAGGGAUAACAGCGCAAUCCAUUUCAAGAGUCCCUAUCGACAAAUGGGUUUACGACCUCGAUGUUGGAUUAGGACACCCUAGUGGUGCAGCCGCUACUAAUGGUUCGUUUGUUCAACGAUUAAUGU
rnacentral:rRNA from 1 species